rnacentral:tRNA from 2 species
GUCUUCGUAGCUUAUCAUAAAGCAUGUCACUGAAGAUGACAAGAUGGUAUAUACUUACCCGAAGACA